CUUCAGCUCUCGUCUCUGACCUUUCGAUCUCGGUGGAAAUUAUUGUAUGCUGUGCCACAAGCAUACACACAGAAAUGCGUAUACAAAAACUGUAUGAUGAAUGUAAAUAUCAGUCACCCAUUACGUUGAGGAAACCGUAUUGUUGAUCGGACUCAUUGCAGAAUCUCUGAGCUGAACGGCGCUUCGACCUGAGUUGUAAAUGUGGCAAGGGAAGGGUUUGCAAUUUACGACAGGAAAUGUUGUUUCAUUUACAGUUAGAACUUGACGAAGGCAUGUCUAGUGAACGGUUAGGAAGUCCAACUCCGAAUCUUGACAUAUUUGUCUGCAGCUGGCAGGAUCUUUCAUCUGAUUCCUGGUUCUAAGCAAUGGAUUCUGCACAAUUCGAGAUGACAAGAAUUAACUGGAGGUAGAAGCUGUGCCAGGUGCUGAAGUAACCUGUGUGAUACUCUUAUGCAAAUCCAAAUACAAGAUGGUCACUGGACCCUGAUUUCUCUCCAUAGACAACGCCAGACGGGAUUCCCUACAGUGUGGAAACAGGCCCUUUGGCCCAACAAGUCCACACCGCCACUUGCAGCAUCCCACCGAGAUCCAUCCCCCUAUAACCCACAUACCCCUGAACACUACAGGCAAUUUGGCAUGGCCGAUCCACCUAGCCUGCACAUCUUUGGACUGUGGGAGGAAACCGGAGCACCCGGAGGAGACCCAUGCAGACACGGGGAGAAUGUGCAAACUCCACACAGGCAGUCGCCCGAGGCUGGAAUCGAACCUGGGUCACUGGUGCUGUGAGGCUGCAGUGCUAACCACUGAACCACCGUGCCGCCCUUUUGUACAUAAAUUAUGCAAUUAGAUCACAAAGUGCUGUCAAUCAAGCAAUGUUUUCACUUGAAUGAAGCUGUUAGAACAGAUUGCUGGAUGUCUUGACUCUCAGCCAGGAAUGCACAAUGAGUCACUUUGAAAAGCUGGCCUACAACCGUAAUAAUUGUGGGAGGGUCUAGAAGAUGGUUAUCUCCGUAAUGAUGCCAGUAGGUCAGAGUGCCAGAUAACAAGGUGUAGAGCUGGAUGAACACAGCAGGCCAAGCACCAUCAGAGGAGCAGGAGGGCUGACCCUUCUUCAGGGAAAAAAAAGGUGUCUAGGCCUGAAAUGUCAGCCUUCCUGCUUUUCUGAUGCCGCUUGGCCUGCUGUGUUCAUCCAGCUGUACAUCUUGUUAUCUCAGAUGCUCCAGCAUCUGCAAUUCCUACUAUCUCAGAAGUGCCAGAUACAGGUUUUUGAUCUACAGCAGCUUAUCUCCUUAACCGGCCUUGAUGAAAAUUCAAAUGGGGCCAGGAAUCCCAGAAUUAGGCUUGAGUGACCAUAUCUGAACAUUUCUAGAGUCUCAUCAAUUCUGCAAAACUAAGACCAAAAUAUAUGUACUUGUGCUUAUCCCAGCUCAGAUUCUAUUAUUCUCUGUGCCAGUAUUUCUCUGAUUCAACAUCCAGGUUUAACCAAUUAAGCACAGAGAGCAUAGGACAAUUACUGAACUUCUGUAGCCAAACACAUUAUGAUUGAACCAUUAAAUACUACAGAAAGUAUGUAAAUUUCGAAAAAAAUUCAUGAUUAGUGUACUUUACAAAACUAGACUUUUCAUUGAACCGUACAAAGAAACGUAAUAUUUAAAUUUUAUAAACUGAGGUAGCUUGAAAAAGUGAAUUUGUUAGAUUUCUGCCUGAGAUGGACACUUACUUAAUUCAUAUUGUUGACUAAAAUUGAUCUGGUAUUUUCUAGCCACAAGAACUCCAUGAAAGCAGACUCUGGAGGAAUUGGUUGGGAAGUUGAAAUUACUGCUGGGCAAUUUCCCCAUGCCUGGAGCUCUCUGAACAUCUUUAUUUAAAUCAGAGACUUUGAAGGAAGCAGAGGAAAAGAAUCUUUGGGUUUAAAAUGAGAAAUUAUGGAAUAUUAUUGUCCAGGGGGUUUUGUAAUGAACUGCCAGUGGAAGUGGUAGAUGCAGGAACGGUUACUAUAUUUAAAAUGCAUUCUGACAGGUACAUGAAUGGGAAAUGUUUAGAGGGAAAAGUGCCAAAUACAGGCAAAUGACACCAAUUUAGUUUGGGAAACUUGAAUAAGUUGGACUAAAGGGUCUGUUUCUGUGCUGUUUGACUCUGAAUCUAUAAACUCCUGCAUCAAGUGUAAAUUUCAAAUGUUUGUUCUUUGCACAAAAUUGCUUUUUAGUCUUCAUUGCAACCGAAGCAAGAUAUGAUACUCUGUGCAGCAAGCUACAUAUGCCUAUUAUGUGCAAACAUAUUCAGUUUGAUCAAU